ACCCGCACAAGCGGUGGAUGAUGUGGAUUAAUUCGAUGCAACGCGAAAAACCUUACCCACCUUUGACAUGGCAGGAAUCCUAAAGAGAUUUUGGAGUGCUCGAAAGGGAACCUGCACACAGGUGCUGCAUGGCUGUCGUCAGCUCGUGUCGUGAGAUGUUGGGUUAAGUCCCGCAACGAGCGCAACCCUUGCCAUUAGUUGCUACGAAAGGGCACUCUAAUGGGACUGCCGGUGAACCAAACCGGGAAGGAAGGGUGGGGAUGACGUCAAGUCCUCAUGGCCCUUAUAGGGUGGGGCUACACACGUCAUACAAUGGCCGGUACAGAGGGUAGCCCAACCCGCGAGGGGGAGCCAAUCCCACAAAGCCGGUCGUAGUCCGGAUCGCAGUCUGCAACUCGACUGCGUGAAGUCGGAAUCGCUAGUAAUCGCGGAUCAGCAUGUCGCGGUGAAUACGUUCCCGGGUCUU
rnacentral:rRNA from 1 species